rnacentral:rRNA from 1 species
GAUGAACGCUGGCGGCGUGCCUAAUACAUGCAAGUAGAACGCUGAAGGAGGAGCUUGCUUCUCUGGAUGAGUUGCGAACGGGUGAGUAACGCGUAGGUAACCUGCCUGGUAGCGGGUGAUAACUAUUGGAAACGAUAGCUAAUACCGCAUAAUAGUAGAUGUUGCAUGACAUUUGCUUAAAAGGUGCAGUUGCAUCACUACCAGAUGGACCUGCGUUGUAUUAGCUAGUUGGUGGGGUAACGGCUCACCAAGGCGACGAUACAUAGCCGACCUGAGAGGGGGAUCGGCCACACUGGGACUGAGACACGGCCCAGACUCCUACGGGAGGCAGCAGUAGGGAAUCUUCGGCAAUGGACGGAAGUCUGACCGAGCAACGCCGCGUGAGUGAAGAAGGUUUUCGGAUCGGAAAGCUCUGUUGUAAGAGAAGAACGAGUGUGAGAGUGGAAAGUUCACACUGUGACGGUAUCUUACCAGAAAGGGACGGCUAACUACGUG